UACGUAGGGCGCGAGCGUUGUCCGGAAUUAUUGGGCGUAAAGAGCUCGUAGGCGGCUUGUUGCGUCUGCUGUGAAAUCCCGGGGCUUAACCCCGGGCGUGCAGUGGAUACGGGCAGGCUGGAGGCAGGCAGGGGAGAAUGGAAUUCCCGGUGUAGCGGUGAAAUGCGCAGAUAUCGGGAGGAACACCGGUGGCGAAGGCGGUUCUCUGGGCCUGUUCUGACGCUGAGGAGCGAAAGCGUGGGGAGCGAACAGGAUUGAGAAACCCCGGUAGGU
rnacentral:rRNA from 1 species